ACUACCUCCGUCCCAAAAUAAGUGCAGCCAUAAGUUUCCGUGUCCAACUUUGAUCGUCCGUCUUAUUUAAAAUUUUUUAUGAUUAGUAUUUUAAUUAUUAUUAGAUUAUAAAAUAUGAAUAGUACUUUAUGCGAGACUUACGUUUUUUAGUUUUUUCUAAAAAAAUUUAAAUAAGACAGACGAUUAAAGUUGGACACGGAAACUCAUAGCUGCGCUUAUUUUGGGACGGAGGGAGUA
rnacentral:pre_miRNA from 1 species